CAAACACAGCACAGGGGCAGAGCGGAGCAGAGGGCGAUCCAAAGGCUGGCAAAUUGAUCAUGUGUGUGUUCGAGUUUUAAAAGUGUCAUCCUGCUGUGUGUUUGCGUGUCUGUCUCCGUUUUGGUCAUACGCAACUACAAGUAACGGCUGUGUGAGAGCAGACGUCCCUCUGUCACCCUGUGUACGGACAGACGCACUCACGCCAGUAGGAGGGGAUUGUGGGAAGGGGGUGUAGCUCUCAGAGGGUGUGCUCAACUCCUCUCUUUUCCCUUCUUCCCGCCAUCACGGCCCUCUUCUCCUCCAGUCCUCCGGCCCAGCCCGCCGCUCACGUACAGGCUCCAGGAGAGUUACCUUUGUGGAUCUUUGAUGUGGAAGCAACGUGAAUGCUGUCCUUGGGGCUGAGGUAGUAGAUUGAAUAGUUGUGGGGUUGUAUAACCUCUUUUUGAGAUAACUAUACAAUCUACUGUCUUUCCCAAGGAGACAGCUGAGUCAGCAACUCGCCGAUUGUCAUCUCCAGAUGGGCAAUCAUGCAAUCCAAUCAAAACGUACACGUGCAGCAAUCAACAUAAUGCACUGUGUAAUUGUAUUAUUAUUGUUUUUCUUGCUAGAGCAGGUAAAUUAGGUUUGUGUUUCCUCACAGGACGUAAACGUGUGGUGUGUUUGAUUUGGGCUCUGUCAGGGUGAGGUAGUAGGUUGUAUAGUUUGGUGGGUGGGAAUGCACCCUUCUCCGGUGAUAACUAUACAGUCUAUUGCCUUCCCUGAGGAGUUCACUGAACACUUGUGAAUGCUCAACACACUCUUAUGAUAGUACCACAUUUAUUUGUAGAUUUCACAAAGAAAGUAGCAAAUAGAUAUGUGCUUCAAACGGUUAGUGAUGAGUUGAUAGAAGCUAUUAAAUGACAAAACAAAAAUGUACAUCUCAAUAAAAUCAUACUUGUCUCAAAUCACUUGUCCAAAAACAUCAGUGAAUGAGCUCUUGAUAUUGUUUGUUUGUCACCUACUGCAGCUCUGGUGUUUUCAUGGUUCUGGUUCAACAGCAGCUAAUGAGUUUGUUAGUCUACAGCACUCUCUGGUGGAAACUCAUGAGAUAGCUUUGACUUGAAUAAAGUUUGCGGAAAAGCAGUAGCCGAUCAAAUGCCAUGUUGGAGUUUCAUGCUUGAUGUUUCGCUUUCAUGCUUUCACGUUUCGUGCAGAGUUUCAUUUACACCAAACACUACACACAAAUUCAA